rnacentral:lncRNA from 1 species
AACAAAAUGGAUUACAAAUGGUUUUACAACUCGGCAUUCAUGUUGUUAUUCAUCUUUGUGCAAGACUUAUUUUGUGGGGUAUCGUCCAAUAUUGACUCUUUUUCACUCGAAUUUUUAUUCAGAGUAUCACAUUAAUGCAUGAGUCUCUUUCCAAGGCAAGUGCUUAUUCUUCAUUUCUCCUUUUUUUUCAUUUCUUUUUCUCUUUUUCUUUUCGGUAGAAGUGGAUGUUUUUACACAGUUUUUUU